CCCAGACUCCUACGGGAGGCAGCAGUGGGGAAUAUUGCACAAUGGGGGGAACCCUGAUGCAGCGACGCCGCGUGAGUGAAGAAGUAUUUCGGUAUGUAAAGCUCUAUCAGCAGGGAAGAAGAGAGACGGUACCUGACUAAGAAGCCCCGGCUAACUACGUGCCAGCAGCCGCGGUAAUACGUAGGGGGCGAGCGUUAUCCGGAUUUACUGGGUGUAAAGGGAGCGUAGACGGUUUUUCAAGUCUGAAGUGAAAGCCCGCGGCUCAACUGCGGAACGGCUUUGGAAACUGAGUAACUGGAGUGCUGGAGGGGCAGGCGGAAUUCCUGGUGUAGCGGUGAAAUGCGUAGAUAUCAGGAGGAACACCAGUGGCGAAGGCGGCUUACUGGACAGUAACUGACGUUGAGGCUCGAAAGCGUGGGGAGCAAACAGGAUUAGAUACCCUUGUA
rnacentral:rRNA from 1 species